AUAAGUUAGAAUGAGAAAAAAUAUAUUUGUCUUAUUCUAACUUAUUGCACCACUGCAGCAGUGCAGGAAUAAAAAACAAACUUUAAUACUCACAUGAUAUUCUCUUCCUGAAUUUUACAUUGUAUUGAAAAGUUCUUGAAAUAUCAGUGAGAUAUGGUAACUUUCUUUGUAACAGUUAUAUUAUUAGACUCUCAUUCUAGAAUAUAAUACUAUUGAAUUAUAAGUUUUUAUUCUAGAUGCAGUACAGUAAUAAUAUGUUAUUAUGUGCAGAUAGUUUGAUUUAUUCACAUACGUUUGUAACAUCCUUUUUAUUGAUAAUUAUCAAAAACUGAGAAAGCAAUUACCUUUUAUUAUUUAUUUUUUGAUAUCUAUUUUCUAAUACUGAGAUUAAAUUAUAUAUAUAUGUAUAUAUAUAUUUCGUAAAAUAUGAAUACUACUAAUGAAAAACUCACUCUCGGCGAAUUCACAAGUGACUUAAUAGAAAAUUGAAUGAGAGUCUAGUGAUUUUAAGAGUACGAAUUCGAACAUGUCACAUGUCGACCAGAUACUGACAGAUACGGGUAAUAUGUAAGGGAGAUAUUUGAGAACGCUAAGGCGCAUUUGAAUAAUUUAAAUGUUUUAUAGUGCAAUAGAAAGCUUUUUUACAUCGUUUCUGACGUUUAUCAAGCAAUAAAUACAAGAGCUUAAAACUUUCUGUUGCAAUAAAUGAUAUCUAAAUUGUUCAAAUCUACUCGAGUGUUUAAAUGUAUUGGACUCUCUAUGGAUCAUACAGGGUGUUUAAAAAUAUGCAGUUAAAGUUAUACAUUUUAAAGUGGUCGAGCAUGCGAAGAAAGUUUAUAUUGAAUCUCUGUCCAAAAAUACUUUAUAGCAUUGAAGUAGAAGAGGUCGACAGUUCGCUAGUAAAACGGCUCUCGUCGCUUUUAUAAUUCUUUAGAUAUGUCGCUAAUUCAAAAGCAAGUACAUGUCAGUUAUUGUUUACACUUCCGCAUAGUAAUUAUAUUUAUUUAAGUAAGACAUUAUAAAGUUCCAAUAAAUUUAUAUAAACUAUAGCAGACGAAUAGAGUGCUUGUAUAUAUAAAUAGAAAAGUAAUAUGGACAAUAAGAGAAAUCAAUUUCAAGCAAUUUAUACAUACAAAUGAAGAAAAAAUGGUAUAUUAAUAUCUUUUUUAUAUUUCUUUUACCUGCAUAAUUACUUUUUCUAAUCCACUUUAGAUUAAAUUUACUAUUUUAUAAUGAUAUAAUAGCACCUUUGUGUUACUUUUUUACUUUUCUACUACAAUUUCAAUUUUAGAACAAUAUUAGAUAUAAGACAAUGACAAUGACAAAUAUGAAAUUAACGCAAUUUUUAGAAAACAUUUGCAUAGUAUAGAUUAACUAGUAAUAUAAUAAUAUUUUCUCUGGAAUGUCAUUUAAGAAUCAUUGUGUUUCACGAUAUGUAUAAAAUCACCUUCGAAUUUUAUUAUGCAAAAUGUUAAUCAUGUUUAAUUGAGUGACGAUGUGCGCAACACAUUUGUCACAUGACACAAGAUGAUCUGAUAUGAGCAUUUUUAUCUUAAAUAUAUAUAUUUUUUACGUAUCUUUGCUCUUGUGAAUUAAACAUUUAUUUUGUAUUUUUCUUCUCUAUCAAAUUUAGAUAAAUUAUGUAAAGAAUUGACUUCCAUAACAUGCUAACAUAGUGGUACGAAACAUUUUACAUAACUUUUUCCAUCAUGUUAGAUGAAAGAUAUUUCAGAUGGUAAAGUCAAGUGUCCCACUCUGUAAAAGAUGCAUACAAUUAUUGUUAAAUUUGUCGUAUGUGAGUAUCAUUCUUAUGUACAAAAUACAGUAGAACGGCGACUGUCCCAAGUGCGAAUUGUGAGAGAUGUUUUCAUAAGAGCGUUCCUGCGAAUAAGCCAUCUGAAUAAGAGAAAGCACAAGAAAAAAAAUGAUAUUCUUCCAACAGAGAUUAUCGAUAUCAGAUGACAAAUAUAAUACUGCUUCCCCAAACACAUCAUCUAAUAUUAAAGUAUGCAUCCUCCACCUCUCACUACUACGUUUCAAUGCUAGUAUAUAAUACAGAAUAUAGAAAAAAAAAUCAGAGUCACGCAGUUCCUGACUCAUCAACGAAGCCUUUAAACCAGAUGACUGGUUAAAGAAUUCGUAGAUGAAAGAAUACAGUGAAUCUGCGUAACAUUUUGUACAUACAUUUAUUUCAAUUUUUUAAUCCUGCAGUACUGUUGCAUAUUAUGCCAUCGUUAAAUUAUUUAUGCUCAUUAUUUAUCACUCAUCGAUGAUCGUAUUAAUUUUGUAUCACAUCAGAAUCGCUAGAUAAUAUAUUUUAAUUUUAAAGAUAUUUGUUACAUCAAGUUUGAAACAAUAUGACCAGUACAAGAAAAAUUAUGCAUGGAUUUUGGAUAUACAGCUUAUUUUAUAUUUAACUUAUUAGUUCGUAUAAUGGAUCAUCCAAUAUCUUUUAGAUAUUUCUUAACUCUCUCUCGUGACAUUAAAUAUAAUGCAUGUCCAUGAAGAAUUUCCUGUGAACAGUACUGGAGCGUUUAAAGCAAUGUUAUAUUUAUCGACGCAAUUAUACAUAAUCUUGUUAUUAGAAAGGCAAUUUAUGUUUUUAAGGAAUUACACAUAUAUUUCUUAGUUUAUAUUAUAAUAAUCUCACUUUAUAGAUUAUAUUCUAUUUUAUUAUAAGACUUUGCUAAGAGAUUUUUGUUAUCUUUAUUAUACUUUGUAUCUAAUAUGUAUGUCUAUAUUUAAUGUUUUUCUAUUGAGAUAAUUGUUACGCGCAUCGGUUCUCGUAUUAAUUUAUAUUCUCGGAUAAUCGACGUUUUACUGUACACAAUGUAGGGAUAGUUUGAUUUUUUCCAUGACAUCGGGGCAAGUAAUUGUCGCAUGAACGCGCGCAUUUAUAAUUAAGUGAUUAAUAUAUGCAGUUACGUAUCGAGCCCAUCAGAGAAAUGUAGUAAUUUUGGCGUGUCUUUUGGCCGCAAAUUUAUAUAAUAUUUUGUGCAGUCCGUUUUCUAUAGAAAUUUAUGUUAAAAUGCAUGUUUGUUAUAUUUUUUAUCGUACAAAUAUAUCGAAACACAUUAUUAUUAUUGUUACUGGAAAAGCGUUACUAUUGUCAUUACUAUUGCUGCUACUUCUACUAUUGCGAUCACGAUACUAUUAUUAAGUCACUCUCUUAAACUACUAUUACUAUCGCUCAAAAAAAUCUCUUUCUCUCUAUACAUCUAUUAUUGAUAUCUUCAUUAUGUAUUAUUACGAGUGGCAUUGUCGUUAGAGAUAUUUUAAUUACCGGUAAUUGCAAAUACAUUGUAUUAAUUGCGCCUGCAAAAAUGUUUAAUAGUUAGAUACAUAAAACAUAUCAAGAACAUCACACGAUUAGCAUAACAUGCGUUUCUCAAAUUCUUCCUUUUUUUUUUAAUUUUUACUUCCUUGUAAUGAAUUAAUAGUUACCCAUGAAUACAUAGUUAACAACAUCUAUGCAUUUAAUGUUAAUAACGUUUAGUAAAAUCUCGAUCAUGUAACAAAAUUAAUUAAUUUUAUUGUAUAUUAUAUUCAUAUUGUUUUUGUACACAAUUUCUCUUUAUCAUUGAUUUAUUUAUAGAAUCUUCGGGAUCUAUAGAAUGUCCGAUAUACGCACUAUAUGGAAUCGUUAAUAAUAGAUGGUUUUGAUUGUACAAGGUGGUUAUUGGCAACGAAAUUAAUUUUACUUAAAAAUUGCAACUGCAGUAUACAAUUUUUUUGCAUAAAGUUUUAUCUACAAAAUUUGUCAAUUAAAAAAUUGGGAAUUUAAUAUCUUUUUUCUAAUAACUUCCAAUUUUCUAUCAAAACUACUGUAUGCUGCUAGAUAAGUUUAUUUUUAAUAAUUUAUUAGAAAUUAUGAAAAAAAUGUGUUAAAUUUUAUUUAAAAAAAUAUUCUUGAUACCUUAUAAAUAAUAUUCAAUUUCAAUUUUUCUUCGCCUUUUCCUUUUACUUAUAUUUCAAUUACUUCAAAGAUUUAGAACUUUAAAAACUAAGAAUUUGAUGCACGAAGAUAUAAUAUUGACAAUUGAAAUUUGAAGAUUAGACAUUUAAAACAUUUUUGCCAAGAAAAUCUGCUUCAAUUAAAUCGAUGUUGAAAUCAACAAAUUACAUGUUGCAGAACACCUUGUAUAGUCGGAAAAUAGAUGAUAAGAUCCAAGAACAGUGUACGAUUUAGAAAUAUGUAUAAAAAUGGUUCUUUUGCUACGCACAACUCAGAAUCAUCAAACUAAGACCUGUUCUAAUUUGACGAAGACUUCAGUAUGUUGUUCAGUAUGUAUGUCGACUUUUUUUUAUAAAUCCUUAUAUACGGUAUGUUGAAAAUAUACAUUUUACUGUUAAGACAAUGUAUCGUAUUCUACAAAAAUGUGAAAAAUUCAUUAUCAAGAUAUUAUUCAUGGUUACAAGUGAUUCCAGCAUUCAGCUCGCGCAGUCUUUACUAUAAUUGUAUAGUGUGGACAUGUAAGGGGACGAUUCGCACAAGGAGUCUGAACGAAAUCUCUCAAAAUGAAAAGUGCCAGGGAGAGACGGACUUUUGAUUCGAGGAAAUGGAAACGGAAGCCUCGGUUGCCAUAUGUAAUCUUAAUAAAACAUUUUCAGACGGC